UCAAGUCGGAUGUGAAAUCCCCGGGCUCAACCUGGGAACUGCAUUCGAAACUGGCAGGCUAGAGUCUUGUAGAGGGGGGUAGAAUUCCAGGUGUAGCGGUGAAAUGCGUAGAGAUCUGGAGGAAUACCGGUGGCGAAGGCGGCCCCCUGGACAAAGACUGACGCUCAGGUGCGAAAGCGUGGGGAGCAAACAGGAUUAGAUACCCUGGUAGUCCACGCCGUAAACGAUGUCGAUUUGGAGGUUGUGCCCUUGAGGCGUGGCUUCCGGAGCUAACGCGUUAAAUCGACCGCCUGGGGAGUACGGCCGCAAGGUUAAAACUCAAAUGAAUUGACGGGGGCCCGCACAAGCGGUGGAGCAUGUGGUUUAAUUCGAUGCAACGCGAAGAACCUUACCUGGUCUUGACAUCCACAGAACUUUCCAGAGAUGG
rnacentral:rRNA from 1 species